CUCUGAUUAAGGUCCCCCCCUUCUAUAAGUCUUGACCAGGUAGGUCUCGUAGCUUUGUCCCCCUUUCUAAAGCCCUUGUCCAACUAUAUGUAGGUAGUUGUGGUAGUUUGGUCCCCCCCGUUCUAUAAGCAUUUUCCAGGUAGUUCUGGUAGCUUGGUCCCCCCUUCUAUAGACUUUGUCCAGGUAGGUCUGGUAUUUGGUCCGUCCUUCUAUGGGCUUUGUCAAUGUAGGUCUGGUAGUUUGGUCCGUCCUUCUAUGAGCUUUGUCCAGGUAGGUCUGGAAUUGGUAGUGUGUCCUUAUUUGGGCUUCUUCAUCUAUUUUAUUUUGGUUUUCAGUUCAGUGCAUGUACAUUUAUGCCAACGAAAGGAGGUACAGGCGCACAAACUACUCAAAAAGUUGACCGGUAGUCUUUUAUACCAGACUAAUGUUCUCAAUAAAAUUAUUAUUCAGGUGUGGGUUGCAAGUUUUCAUUGUAAAUUGCUCUUCAGUAUAUUCCGCAAGCCCAGAGCAUUUUUUUCGGGGCCAAAUAAUGGAUAUCUUUGAAUUGGCUGGAUUCAGAAUAUCCUUGGAUUGUCUGCUCUGCACACACAUUCAUUAGUUGGUGUGUACGGUUACAUCAUAGUUUAUUUUAUAUAAAAUUUUACGUCAAUGUAUUUAAUAGGGAUGCACCGAAAUGAAAAUUCUUGGCCGAAACCGAAUAUACUGAAACAGUUGGCCGAAACCGAAUACCGAAUGUGGCUUUUGCUGUUUUUCAUUCAUUUUGCUUUAAUUUUCACCAUUGCAUAAAUCAAACAAUUAAAUGUCCUUUAUAAA